CUGAAACCCAAGACUUCAUGUAGGUGAGUGCCCAAACAUAAACCCAGGUGGCGUACAGGAACAUGUGCAAACACAUUCUACAUCCCAAGAUAUGUUGCUGGAAGCGUUCAAUAAAUGCUGUUAAGUUUCACCA
rnacentral:lncRNA from 1 species